UCGAGGAUCUUUCGCAAUGGGCGCAAGCCUGACGAAGCGACGCUGUGUGGACGAUGAAGGCCUUCGGGUUGUAAAGUCCUUUCGCGCAAGAACAAGAGAGGCGAGCUAAUAAUUCGCUAAUUUGAGGGUACUGCGUAAAGAAGCACCGGCUAACUCCGUGCCAGCAGCUGCGGUAAUACGGAGGGUGCAAGCAUUAAUCGGAUUUACUGGGCGUAAAGGGCGCGUAGGCGGGUAAGCAAGUCAAAUGUGAAAUUCCGGAGCUCAACUUCGGAGCGGCAUUUGAAACUGUUUGUCUAUAGAGGGAUGGCGGAGAAAAUGGAAUUCCACAAGUAGCGGUGAAAUGCGUAGAUAUGUGGAAGAACACCAGUGGCGAAAGCGGUUUUCUAGCUAUUACCUGACG
rnacentral:rRNA from 1 species